GCCAAGUGGCCAGUCCCCAACUCCAGGAGGGCUCUGCAGCAUUUCUUGGGCUUUGCCAAUUUUUUUCGGCGAUUCAUCAGGAAUUUUGGCCAGAUCCUGAACGGCAAUUCAUUGUUGAGGUGGAUGCGUCGGAAGUUGGGGUAGGCGCGGUCUUGUCCCAGCGCUCCUGAACCCGAUGCUGCAGUUCCGUCUGCCCUAGCCUUUGUUCGAAGAUGUCGUAACGUCUGGAGGAAGGCUAGGAAGGCCCUGGUCCAGGCCUCUAGACGGACCAAGGCAGCAGCUGAUUGCCACCGGAUUCCAGCGCCCCGUUAUGUCUGUGGUCAGAAGGUAUGGCUGUCUACCAAGGACCUGCCUCUCAGGGCUGUCUCUAGCAAAUUGGCACCCAGGUUCAUUGGCCCAUACCAGAUCACCAAGGUCCUUAAUCCGGCUGCGAUACGGCUCAAGUUGCCCUCCUCUCUUGGUCGGGUUCAUCCUGUUUUCCAUGUAUCCAGGGUUAAACCGGUUUUAAGGUCCCCCCUUAAUACCAACAUUUCUUCCCCUGCCCCCCCUCCCCCUCGUCUAGUGGAUGGUUCUCCUGUCGAUUCUGUUAGGAGAAUACUAGAUGUUCGUCGUCGUGGCAGGGGAUUUCAAUACCUGGUGGACUGGGAGGGUUACGAUCCGGAGGAGAGGAGUUGGGUUCCGGCUCGGGAUAUUCUGGAUUGGUCGAUGAUCGAUGACUUCUGCCGUAAACAUAGUAAGCCCCUCCCUUAAGUCGCCUGGUGGUGUCCUUGGGGGAGGGGGUACUGUCAUGAUCUCAGUGGGGUCUGAGGCUUUUUCUGUCCUGGAGCACAUGAUUUAGGUUUUGCUGGCUCGCCAGGUGUUUCACUAUUCCCGCUAUGUUUUCUCCGCCCCUCUUGUUAUCCCUGUUAACGUUUUCUCCCUCACCUGCACCCUGUCUUUCGCUGAUUAUCUUCCCUUUAUCAUGCCCUUGUGUUUGCUGUCUUGUGUCAGUCCGUAAGCAUUGUUAAAGUUAAGCGUUCUCCUUGCUAGCCAUAGUUUGCUGACUUCGUUUUUUGUAUUUUUUCCCUCUGUCUAGUCGAUCUGCUGUCCCUGUUUUUUUUGUUUUUUUUCUGACUUGCCUCUCGUUACUCAGUAGCCCGCAUCCACCAGGCGGCCGACUCUACUUACCUUUGCAUUGCCUUCGGACUCCGGCUACGGCUUUCCAGUGCUGAUCCGCCACCUGUUCCCAGCUGCUGUGCGGCUGUCGCCGAAGAG